rnacentral:rRNA from 1 species
AGAGUUUGAUCAUGGCUCAGAACGAACGCUGGCGGCAGGCCUAACACAUGCAAGUCGAACGGCUGUAGCAAUACAGCAGUGGCAGACGGGUGAGUAACGCGUGGGAACGUGCCCAAAGGUACGGAACAACUCCGGGAAACUGGAGCUAAUACCGUAUGUGCCCGAAAGGGGAAAGAUUUAUCGCCUUUGGAUCGGCCCGCGUCUGAUUAGCUAGUUGGUAGGGUAACGGCCUACCAAGGCUACGAUCAGUAGCUGGUCUGAGAGGAUGAUCAGCCACAUUGGGACUGAGACACGGCCCAAACUCCUACGGGAGGCAGCAGUGGGGAAUAUUGGACAAUGGGCGAAAGCCUGAUCCAGCCAUGCCGCGUGAGUGAUGAAGGCCUUAGGGUUGUAAAGCUCUUUCGGCGGGGACAAUAAUGACGGUACCCGCAGAAGAAGCCCCGGCUAACUUCGUGCCAGCAGCCGCGGUAAUACGAAGGGGGCUAGCGUUGUUCGGAAUCACUGGGCGUAAAGCGUAUGCAGGCGGAUCGUUAAGUCGGGGGUGAAAUCCCGAGGCUCAACCUCGGAACUGCCUUCGAUACUGGCGAUCUUCGAGUCCGGGAGAGGUGAGUGGAACUCCGAGUGUAGAGGUGAAAUUCGUAGAUAUUCGGAAGAACACCAGUGGCGAAGGCGGCUCACUGGCCCGGUACUGACGCUGAGAUACGAAAGCGUGGGGAGCAAACAGGAUUAGAUACCCUAGUAGUCC